ACACGUGUCCUUAGUAGCUUGACUUAAGAAAGGCUGUGGGCCGGUGGCAUUUGACUGGCGUGGUGGGCCCACCCAGUACAAGGACAACGCGGAGGAGCGUCUCCUCGUCCUCGACAAGCCAAAACGGAGGGGAUGAUGCCGAGGGCUCGAGGCGGUCGGAGGCGAAGUUCGCCGCCGCCUCGUCGUAGCCGUCGUCUCCUUCGUGCUCUGCUGCUCGUCGUGCUCCCUAGAGCCCAGAUCCGGCGGCGAAGAGAAGUUGCGUCGCGCCAUGGCGUCGUCUCAGGACUUUGGAGUAACCUGCAUGGACUUUGGUCUUUUGUUGAUGCUAGAUAGGAAGGUGACUUGAUUUCCUGUGACUAAGUUUUAACCCAUCUCUUUUAGCUGUAAUACUAUGCUUUGAUUACUCAGAUACGUAUUAUGCAACAAGGAUCCAAAAUUACCAUGUCUUGGUAACUGAGGUUCUUGAGUGAUCGACAUCCUGAGCAUCUGACUGUAGCGGACAGACGAAUUUGUACUACAAUCAGCUGUGCUUCCCGUCAAACCUUGCUGAUGCAAACUACACGCUAAUCUGUACUUAGCUAAUAGCGGUGAAACUGCGUAGCAAUUCUGCCCAUGACGAAGCGAAGUAGUCGUGACAUGAACUAGGUGAUGCCAACCAGUAGAACCGGAUAUUGACAAAAAUGGCCAUGCCGCUUACAAGGUCCAUGUAAGGCACACACGUCCACUUCGUUAGCCCAACCGUUACGCAAUCUGGCUCAAAGAGGCCCGCAAGGAACAUGUAGGCUCGUUAUGGCGCAUAAUCGCCCCUCACACGAGCCCAUCGUGGCCCAUUACAAUACUCAAAGUCCAUUAUUUACGCCCACAUGGGUCCGUUUUGACCCAUUAUUGGCCCAUGUAUAGCCCAUCCCAUACACCAUAGGCCCGUCUAAGCCCAUAUAAGGCCCAUUGUCGGCCGUAAUAUACUUAUCGGUCUACCAUGGCUCAUUAUCGGCCCAUCCUAGGUCCGUUAUCGGCAUGUCUGAGGCCCAUUAACGUGCUUCUGGCCCAUCUUCAUAUUCGAAGGCCAUCGGUGGCCCAUUAGCGGCCCUUUUACAGAAUAUGGGUACACGGCCCAUGUCAGGCCCACGCUGGUACGUUCGGACGUUCGGUAGCACAUCGUAGGCCCAUGUAAAGUUAAAGUUACUGCUCAUGCAUGUACUCAUCUUGCCAUUUUAAUCCGUUUUACAGCCCUUUAGUAUUUCUUGGACAUCCUGUGGCCCAUCUAAAUACAAUGGUCCCCAAAUUCCCGUCUAACGUCAGGCAAAACGACUGUGCUCAGCAGUCACAGCAUCUGCGCCAUCCCCUCUCGAUCUGACGAUGACCAGCUCCCACCUCGUCAAUCCUUCCACACGCUGGGCCUCGGCCCAACACAAGCACGGCCUGUUGGAUCAGAAGAGCUGCGGCCACUCGUUUUUUUAGCUCGAAUGCUCUCUUUUUUUUGGCGCGAGGGCGUGCUGUGAGGCGGCGAUCGUCAGGUUCCCGUGCUCGUUCUCUCUCGAUCCAAAACGAGAUUGUGUUGGAAUUGGUUGAACGAAAUAUCAGAUUGCUUGAAAAACGAAAUCUGCAUCUGCAUAUCUGAGAUGGAAGAAAACAGUGAGGGCUUGCUGCCUAGUUUGUUGCCUCAAGUUGGCAUGGAGUUCACUACUAUUGAAGAGGCUUGGAUGUUUUGGAUUAGCUAUGGAGGUCAAAAAGGAUUUGAGGUUAGAAAAAGUACACAAACAAAAGAAAAUCAUAUGGGAAGGUUAGGUCCUACAGAUAUGUUUGGGCAAAUGAGGGUCAUAGAUUGGAAGAUAAAAGGGAUCAUUUAACAAAAUGUCCAAGAGCUGAAACUAGAACUGAUUGUCAAGUUCACAUGGGUGUUGUAAUGGACCGGGUGAAGGGAACUUAUAAAGUGGCUGACAUCCUUCAGUUGCCACAAACCUCGCACUUGAUGGUGUCUCAAAGAAAAAUUUUAGAGGGUCAUUUAAUCUCAGUUACACUCUCCGUGACCACAAGAAUUAUUUACGGGGCAAGCGCCAACGGGAGAUGGCAUAUGGUCAAGCAAGAAGCAUGCUUAUGAAAACAAAAUUGUUGAGAACCCGUCAUUCCAAUAUGCAUUACAGAUGGAUUCAGAAGAACA